UACACCGUUUUUUUUUUUUUUUUUUUUUUUUUAAUUUGAUCGCGCGCUUAUGCAUGUAAGUCGAGCGAUGAGUCUCGCAAGGGACAUCAGCGGCAGACGGGUGAGUAACACGUGGAUGACCUGCCCUCAAGACUGGGAUAACGGGUGGAAACACGCGCUAAUACCGGAUAGGCUUCUGGGGUCGCAGCCAGAAGUAAAGCUACGGUGCUUGAGGAGGGGUCCGCGGCCCAUCAGCUAGUUGGUAGGGUAACGGCCUACCAAGGCGCAGACGGGUAGGGGGUGUGAGAGCACGACCCCCCACAAUGGGACUGAGAGACGGCCCAUACUCCUACGGGAGGCAGCAGCAGGGAAUAUUGCACAAUGGACGGAAGUCUGAUGCAGCGACGCCGCGUGGAUGACGAAGGCCUUCGGGUUGUAAAAUCCUUUUCGGGGGGAAGAGGCAGGACGGUACCCCCGGAAUAAGCGUCGGCUAACUACGUGCCAGCAGCCGCGGUAAUACGUAGGACGCGAGCGUUAUCCGGAUUUACUGGGCGUAAAGCGUCUGUAGGCGGUCGAGUAAGUUGGACGUGAAAGCUCCGGGCUUAACCCGGAGAGGCCGUUCAAUACUGCAUGACUAGAGGGCGUGAGAGGGGAGCGGAAUUCCCGGUGUAGCGGUAAAAUGCGCAGAUAUCGGGAGGAACACCAGUGGCGCAGGCGGCUCCCUGGUACGCACCUGACGCUGAGAGACGAAAGCUAGGGGAGCGAACAGGAUUAGAGACCCUGGUAGUCCUAGCCCUAAACGCUGGAUGCUAGGUGUGGGGCCGAACAGGCUCUGUGCCGCAGCUAACGCGCUAAGCAUCCCGCCUGGGGAGUACGGCCGCAAGGCUAAAACUCAAACGAAUUGACGGGGCCCCGCACAAGCAGCGGAGCGUGUGGUUUAAUUCGAUGUUACACGAAGAACCUUACCUGGAAUUGACAUGGAGGUGGUAGGGAAGCGAAAGCGGACCGACUCUUCGGAGAGCCUUCACAGGUGCUGCAUGGCUGUCGUCAGCUCGUGCCGUGAGGUGUCGGGUUAAGUCCCGCAACGAGCGCAACCCCUGUUGCCAGUUACAUGUGUCUGGCGAGACUGCCGGUAUCAAGCCGGAGGAAGGUGGGGAUGACGUCAAGUCAGCAUGGCCUUUAUAUCUGGGGCUACACACACGCUACAAUGGUCGGUACAAUGCGUUGCCAAGCCGCGAGGCGGAGCUAAUCGCAUCAAAACCGAUCUCAGUUCGGAUUGGAGGCUGCAACCCGCCUCCAUGAAGUCGGAGUUGCUAGUAAACGCCGGUCAGCCAUACGGCGUUGAAUACGUUCCCGGGCCUUGUACACACCGCCCGUCACGUCAUGGGAGCUGGUAACACCUGAAGCCGGUGUGCUAACCGCAAGGAGGUAGCUGUCGAGGGUGGGACUGGUGACUGGGACGAAGUCGAACAAGGAAUUACCCAAAGG
rnacentral:rRNA from 1 species